rnacentral:rRNA from 1 species
CGCUGGCGGCGUGCUUAACACAUGCAAGUCGAGUGCGCGUCUGUAGCAAUACAGAUGGCGCACGGCGCACGGGUGCGUAACACGUGGGUAAUCUGCCCUUCGAAGGGGAAUAACUCGCCGAAAGGCGAGCUAAUUCCGCAUAACAUUCCGAGAACCUUGGUUUUUGGAUUCAAAGGCGUAAGUCGUCGGAGGAGGAGCCCGCGCACGAUUAGCUAGUUGGUAGGGUAACGGCCUACCAAGGCUAUGAUCGUUAGCUGGUCUGAGAGGAUGGCCAGCCACACUGGAACUGAGACACGGUCCAGACUCCUACGGGAGGCAGCAGUGGGGAAUCUUGCACAAUGGGCGAAAGCCCUGAUGCAGCGACGCCGCGUGGGGGAUGAAGCUCCUCGGAGUGUCAACCCCUUUCGACCCGGACGAAUGCC